CCUACGGGAGGCAGCAGUGAGGAAUAUUGGUCAAUGGGAGAGAUCCUGAACCAGCCAAGCCGCGUGAGGGAAGACGGCCCUAUGGGCGUUAAACUUCUUUUGUGCGGGAGCAAUAAUGGUCACGUGUGGCCAGACGAGAGUACCGUACGAAUAAGCAUCGGCUAACUCCGUGCCAGCAGCCGCGGUAAUACGGGGGAUGCAAGCGUUAUCCGGAUUUAUUGGGUUUAAAGGGUGCGUAGGCUGUGAGGUAAGUCAGCGGUGAAAUGCCCCCGCUCAACGGGGUGAAGUGCCAUUGAUACUGCCUUGCUUGAAUGCGGAUGCCGUGGGAGGAAUGUGUGGUGUAGCGGUGAAAUGCAUAGAUAUCACGAAGAACUACGAUUGCGAAGGCAGCUCACUGGACUGCAACUGACACUGAGGCUCGAAAGUGUGGGUAUCAAACAGGAUUAGAUACCCUAGUAGUC
rnacentral:rRNA from 1 species